AUGAAAGAUCCCAGUCGCAGCAGUACUAGCCCAAGCAUCAUCAAUGAAGAUGUGAUAAUUAAUGGUCAUUCUCGUGAAGAUGACAAUCCAUUUGCAGAGUACAUGUGGAUGGAAAAUGAAGAGGAAUUCAACAGACAAAUAGAAGAGGAGUUAUGGGAAGAAGAAUUUAUUGAACGCUGUUUCUAAGAAAUGCUGGAAGAAGAAGAAGAACAUGAGUGGUUUAUUCCAGCUCGAGAUCUCCCACAAACUAUGGACCAAAUCCAAGACCAGUUUAAUAACCUUGUUAUCAGUGAUGGCUCUUCCCUGGAAGAUCUUGUGGUCAAGAGCAAUCUGAAUCCAAAUGCAAAGGAGUUUGUUCCUGGGGUGAAGUACUAAAAUAUUUGAGUAGACGGGGCCCUCUUUUGGUGGAUGUAGCACAAUUUCCACACUGUGAAGGCAGUAUUAGAAGACUUAAUUGUAAAAGCUCUCUCUUGUCACUGUGUUACACUUAUGCAUUGCCAAAGUUUUGUUAGUCUUGCAUGCUUAAUAAAAGUGCUGAGACUGUUAUUAAGUAAAAA